ACAAAAUUCAAAUACAAGAACGCAGUCACUGAAGAUCUGUGGGAGUCCCUCGGGAAAGCCAGCGGGAAACCGGUCCUUGAUGUGAUGACAACCUGGACCAAACAGAUGGGGUACCCCGUGGUGAAGGUCAGUGAGAAACAAGAGGGCAGUAACAGAGUUUUGACCUUGACCCAAGAAAAGUUUUGUGCUGAUGGAGUACAGGAGAAAGAGGGCUCUUUCUCCUGGAUGGUGCCAGUAUCUAUCAGCACAGCCAGCGAUCCAAAGAAAGCUGCUGUAGUUACUCUGCUGGACAAAACCUCAAUGGAUGUCACAGUUCCUAACGUCAGCCCAGACCAGUGGGUUAAGGUAAACUGUGAGUCUGUGGGUGUGUACCGGGUCCAGUACAGCUCAGAGACCCUUGACAGAUUCAUUCCUGCCAUCAAGAAUAAAACUCUGCCUCCCAGAGACAGGCUUGGUCUGCAAAAUGACCUCUUUGCACUUGCUAGGGCAGGGAUGAUCUCCACUGUGGAUGUUCUGAAGGUGGUGGGAGCCUUCGUCAAUGAGGAUGACUACACGGUGUGGAGCGAUCUCACGGGGAACCUAGGACAGAUCAGCAUCCUGUUACAGAACACGGACGGAUUCGAGGACUUCAAGACCUUCAGCAAGAAACUGUACAAACCGGUGGCCCAGUCCCUAGGCUGGGAUGCCAAGGAAAGCGAAGGUCCGUUAGCGGCCAUGCUUCGAGAGUUGGCUCUGACACGGCUAGGCAAGUACGGAGAUGAGGAGACAGUAACAGAGGCCCGCAAAAGGUUCGAAAAUCACGUGUCAGGAAAGGUCCCCCUCCCUGCUGAUCUGAAGGGACCAGUGUAUUUGACGGUGAUGGUCAAUGGGGAUGAAACCACAUUCAAUCAAAUGAUGAAGUUGUACGACGAGGCAGACAUGCAGGAAGAAAAAGUUCGCAUUAGCCGCUGUAUCGGAUCCAUCAAAAGUGACGAACUGAAGAAGAAAGUGCUUGACUUUGCUAUGUCUGAUAAAGUUAGAUCCCAGGACACAGUGUUUGUGAUUGGCGGAGUUACGGGAACUGUUCAAGGCAGAGAACUCUGCUGGCAGUUUGUCCAGGACAAGUGGACAGAGCUACACGAAAGAUACAAAGGAGGAUUCCUGCUGUCUCGACUCGUGGAGGUUUCCACAGACAACUUUGUAACAGAGGCUCGUGCUAAGGAAGUAGAGAAAUUCUUUGAGACCCAUUCUGCCCCAGCAGCUGAGAGAAAGAUCCAGCAGUCCGUCGAAAACAUUCGACUGAACGCCAAGUGGAUGGAGCGCGAGUCCACGAGCGUGCUGAAAUUCCUGCGCAGUCAGUGAAACUGAAAUUGUACAGGGCAGCGACCAAAGGACCAAGAUCAGAAUUAGUGGAGUUAUUUAUGAACAAAUUGUCAUGUGAAAUUUCAUCUUGUCUUUUCUUUUCUUUACAAUAUUAAAGGAACAUUUAUAAAUGUU
rnacentral:misc_RNA from 1 species